rnacentral:rRNA from 1 species
AAUCAACGCUGGCGGCGUGCCUCAGACAUGCAAGUCGAACGAUUAAAGCUCCCUUCGGGGAGUGCAUAAAGUGGCGCACGGGUGAGUAACACGUAAGUAAUCUACCUUCGAGUGGGGAAUAACAGUCGGAAACGACUGCUAAUACCGCAUAACGCAGCGGCAUCGCAAGAUGACAGUUGUUAAAGGAGCAAUCCGCUUGAAGAGGAGCUUGCGGCAGAUUAGCUAGUUGGUAAGGUAACGGCUUACCAAGGCGACGAUCUGUAUCCGGUCUAAGAGGACGGUCGGACACACUGACACUGAAUAACGGGUCAGACUCCUACGGGUGGCUG